UAAAUAAAUAAUACUCCGAAGAGUAGUAUUAAUGGUGUCCGAAGAGAAGAAAGAACCUUCCUUUGUUCCUUCUCAGAUGAUCCAACAACUCAAAUCACACUCAAACCUUCUUUCUCUAUUAUGGGUUUUGCUCAAUUUUUCUAACAACCUGGACUUUAAAUUUUCUUCAUCAUCAUGCAAACUCCCGUGCUGGAUCCGCAAGAUCAGAGGUCUUUGUUGUUUGUAUUGCCUAUACUCCUUGUCUACCUCUGUUUGUACCUGUGGUGCCGUUGUUGCUCAUCAAGUAUGUAUCUGGAUCUAAUUCACAUUGAGGAGAUGAUCUAUACUCUCGGUAACGCGGUAUUGUCUCAGAUGCCAAACUAAAACAAAACAAAAGGCAGGACCGUUGAUGCAAAUGUGGCAACAUAAAACUGAAUAAACGAACUAGACAUGUUACAAUUCAAAUAAGGAAUGUGAUACAGGCAACCUUGCAUUACGUAGGAAUGUGAUCAUCUCCAUAAAGCUUAAGAUAACACCGUUGAAUCUAAUUCACACAAGUUUUAUUAUUAGAAAUAAUAUUAUUUUAUCCCACUUCCAAAUUAUGAGAAGAUGGUGACACUUUAUGGACCCAAUGGCGAUGAAUCAUCAGAUUUAUUAUUAGAAAUAAUAUUAUUUUGUCCCAAUGAAAUGAUUGAAAUGAAAGAGUCAAUGAAUAUGGUUGCUGAGGCACUACGAGAAGGAAAUGAAAUAAUGAGAGAACGUCAAAAAUAUGAUCUGCCUCCAAUUUCUGGUGAAGAAACAUGGAAUUUAAUAGAGGGUUGCGGGUGUGAGGCAGCGUCAUUGCCUGAGAUAUAUUGUGCUGUCAUGAACGAUGUUAACAAACUUAGAAUGAUUCUCCAAUGUCCACUUGAAGCACGCAAAGCUGUGAUAAUGCAACUGGUCUUUGGUUCAUCUAAUUAAUCAUCCUAUAACGGUGUUAUGAUGUUUAUGAAUAUUUUAUUUGCAUUUUAAUAUGUUUUUUAAUAUUUGGAAC